UACGUAGGUGGCGAGCGUUGUCCGGAAUUAUUGGGCGUAAAGGGCGCGUAGGUGGGAUAGUCAGUCUGUCUUAAAAGUGCGGGGCUCAACCCCGUGAUGGGGCGGAAACUGCUAUUCUUGAGUGCAGGAGAGGAAAGCGGAAUUCCCAGUGUAGCGGUGAAAUGCGUAGAUAUUGGGAGGAACACCAGUGGCGAAGGCGGCUUUCUGGACUGUGUCUGACACUGAGGCGCGAAAGCUAGGGGAGCGAACGGG
rnacentral:rRNA from 1 species